rnacentral:tRNA from 1 species
ACCUGGCUGGCUUAGUCAGUAGAGCACGUGACUCUUGAUCUCGGGGUUGUGAGUUUGAGCCCCAUAUUGGGUG